GAUGAAGAACGUAGCGAAAUGCGAUAAGUAAUGUGAAUUGCAGAAUUCAGUGAAUCAUCGAAUCUUUGAACGCACAUUGCGCCCCUUGGUAUUCCGAGGGGCAUGCCUGUUCGAGCGUCAUUAUAACCCUUCAAGCUUAGCUUGGUGUUGGGGCCUGCUGUAAUAGAGCAGCCCUUAAAAUCAGUGGCGGUGCCAUUAGGCUCUAAGCGUAGUAAUUCUUCUCGCUAUAGGGUUCUGGUGGAUGCUUGCCAUUAACCUCUAAUUUUCUAUGGUUGACCUCGGAUCAGGUAGGGAUACCCGCUGAACUUAAGCAUAUCAAUAAGCGGAGGA
rnacentral:misc_RNA from 1 species